rnacentral:rRNA from 1 species
UCGAGAAUAAUUCACAAUGGGGGAAACCCUGAUGGUGCAACGCCGCGUGGAGGAUGAAGGUCUUCGGAUUGUAAACUCCUGUCAUCUGGGAGUAAGACCUGACGGUAAAUAGCCGGCAGGGUUGAUAGUACCAGAAGAGGAAGGGACGGCUAACUUCGUGCCAGCAGCCGCGGUAAUACGAAGGUCCCAAGCGUUGUUCGGAAUCACUGGGCGUAAAGGGAGCGUAGGCGGCGUGGUAAGUCAGAUGUGAAAUCCCGGGGCUCAACCCCGGAACUGCAUCCGAUACUGCCAUGCUUGAGGGUUGGAGAGGUAGCUGGAAUUCUCGGUGUAGCAGUGAAAUGCGUGGAUAUCGAGAGGAACACUCGUGGCGAAGGCGAGCUACUGGACAACAUCUGACGCUGAGGCUCGAAGGCUAGGGGAGCAAAAG